UGCUUCCUUCCCAGUUUAUUAGUCCCCACCCAACCACACAGCAAGUCCCUCCACUUCAGCCUCCAUUUCCCCUGCUGCUCUGCCAGCAAGAGCAAGGAGCCCUCCUCAGUGCCAGGGCUUUUCCAGUCCAUUCCAGCGCCCUGGUGCUCAGCCGAAGCUACGACCAGGUCUGGAGGUCCACAGCAUUCCCCGAGCUCAGGGAGCAAUCCAGGCAGGCAUUGGCGUGGAAAAUGCGGCGCCCUCAGUCAUCAGGGGAGCAGGCUAGGGGCAACUGAUCCGGGCUGCCCACACUGCCAGUGCUGGAACUUCCAUCGCCUAGGUCGCGGGGCCCGCACGGUGGCAGGGCGAGCUCGGGUGUGGGCCCAGCACCUGAGCCCACUGCGCCGCCGGGGCCACCGCGGGGGCCCCACUCUUCGCCCAGUGCUAAGCAAAGCUCCUUAAGGGCCAGAUUUUCCCGCAGCAGCUCCUCCUGGCGGCCUUCCAGCUCCGCUAGCUUCUGCCAACAGCCACCCAGGUCCUCGCGCACCGCCCGGGAUGCUUGGGUCCCAAAGAGCUGCCACUGGCGCGCCGCACGCCGUCCUCGUUGGCGCUCCGAGUCCAGAAAGCAGCAGAGGUCGCGCAGCUCCCGGUUCUCCGCCUGCAGGCGCCGGUUGAGCUGUUUGAGCUCACGGAUCUCGCCCAGCGCCGCCAUCUCCUCGUCCGUCAGCUCCUCCAGGCCGCCUGCUUCGGCCUCCAUAGUUGAUCAGGCAGCUGCAGCAUCGCCCGCCCACGGCCGAGGCUCUGGAGCCCCUCCUCGGGCCGGUUGCCUCUCAGGCUCCGACCCGGGCUCUGGCUCCGAGGACCGUAGGCAGUGGAAGAGGCAGCGUAGGCUGCAGCAGCUACCCUGGGGUGGG
rnacentral:lncRNA from 1 species